rnacentral:tRNA from 1 species
GGGAGUAUAGCUCAGUUGGUUAGAGCGCCUGCCUUACAAGCAGGAGGUCCUUGGUUCGAAUCCAUGUACUCCCA